AAAUGUGAAGCAACAGACUCAUCUGAAUAAACUGAGACUGGAGUCACUGUAUCUCUCCUAUAGGCUUUUUCAUGAUUCAGAAUACAGAUAUCAUCUUCUACCAGUGCAUCCAUGACAGCUAUUGAAAAGAAUAAAAGCAGAACAGCAUAGGGGUUCAAGAACAUGGACCUGGACCCAGACUGCCAGGGUUUGAUCCAAGCUGUACUACUUGGUGUCUACGUGACUUUCG